AUAUUUUUUAUAAAAAUUCUUGAACCUCUUUCUCUGGCCGUACGGCACGAAACCUUCUGUUGUUUUUAUAAUUCCCGCUGGAAAUCCUGUGUUUCUGAACGGAUUGUGGAGAAGUGCUUGGAUUUGGUAGACGCGAAGAGUUCCUUGCGAUAUUACAGAUAUCGCUCCGUGAUCGCCUUUCUAUAUCGGCCGACCUAGAGGGAACAGUUCUCGGUUUCUGCCUGUUAUCCGCUGUGCACUGUCGGAGUGUCUUUUUACUCGGUCCGCGUCAUACUGCGUUUUUUCCAGUCUCCGCCUGUCGCUUCUUAUUCCGCGACUCUGCAACAUUCGCAGACCAUUCCCAAGCUGCGGACAGGAUCCAACACACUGAGAACCUGCUUUAUCUGCCUGUGUGCCUGAUCCUCGUGAUUCACCGUCCUCUAUUCGGUCCCACGUCCUCUUCACUUUCACGAAAAUGGCUGUUAGGGAAGAAUACUGGAAAGAAGCAGAAGAGCGCGCUCAGCUAACGGACGAAGAGCUGGUUAGCCGGUAUAACGCAACCGCGGCGAGCUAUGACCGUAGUUAUUUGUGCUCGUCUAAAGCACGAGAGCCAAAUAAGGAAACCAAAGCGAACCGCAGGGAAGCGAGGCAGCGUAAAAAAGAUGAGGCAUUUGUUGUGCAGGGUUAUGCCGUCCCUGAAAAAGGGGUUUUUGAUGAAAAAGGCGCGGCUGUCAAACCUGACACUAGCGUGCCGAAAGACUACCGCACAUGUAUCGAUCAAGCGGUGAAAGAGACUGUUGGCUGCGAUGACGCCAUCGUGGAUAAAAUGGCAGAGCUUGUCCAUCGUUCCGCAUCUCACUGCAGUCUCUUAGCUAAAGAUUUUUAUAAAACAGAAGACGUGAAGACGCUGCUGUUGGAAUUGUACCAGAUGUGUUAUGAGUAUAUCGCAACGCAUGGGAAGAAAAAACAUAAUCUUGUUGUUGUGACCGAUUUCAUUGCUGAACAGUGCUAUGCUGAACGAGAGACCGUGCAGCGCGUGCUAAAAGAGAACGGUUGUAAGAUCUCUUUCAAAUAAAUGCUGUUUGUUUUUCUAUUAUUCUGUUGUCAACUACUUUUGUCAAGCGAACCGUUGAAGAAGUAAUGUGUAUGAAAUGUUAAAUCGCGUGUCAUUUCGCUACGGUAAUUGUGUUACAAUAAUCAAAGCGUUCCGCUUGGUUGUUGCACAUUUGUGUCGCAUCGUAUAGCUCAAUUUAACACAAUUAUGAAGACAGAUGUCGGCCAAUGC